GACGAACGCUGGCGGCGUGCUUAACACAUGCAAGUCGAACGGUGAACGAGGGAGCUUGCUCCCUCCGGAUCAGUGGCGAACGGGUGAGUAACACGUGAGCAAUCUGCCCCGAACUCUGGGAUAAGCGUUGGAAACGACGUCUAAUACCGGAUACGACGCGGGAGGGCAUCCUCUCCGCGUGGAAAGAACUUCGGUUCGGGAUGAGCUCGCGGCCUAUCAGCUUGUUGGUGAGGUAACGGCUCACCAAGGCGACGACGGGUAGCCGGCCUGAGAGGGUGACCGGCCACACUGGGACUGAGACACGGCCCAGACUCCUACGGGAGGCAGCAGUGGGGAAUAUUGCACAAUGGGCGCAGGCCUGAUGCAGCAACGCCGCGUGAGGGACGACGGCCUUCGGGUUGUAAACCUCUUUUAGCAGGGAAGAAGCGAAAGUGACGGUACCUGCAGAAAAAGCACCGGCUAACUACGUG
rnacentral:rRNA from 1 species